rnacentral:rRNA from 1 species
UGGCGGCGCGUCUAAGCAUGCAAGUCGAACGGCAAGAGGUAGCAAUACCUCCUAGAGUGGCGGACUGGUGAGUAACACGUGGGUGACAUACCCUUCAGAUGGGGAUAGCUAUUAGAAAUAGUAGAUAAUACCGAAUACGAGCACAGGGGUUAGAGAUCUGUGAGGAAAGGAGCUAAGGCUCCGCUGAAGGAAUGGCCUGCGGCCCAUUAGCUAGUUGGUGAGGUAAGAGCCCACCAAGGCGAUGAUGGGUAUCCGGCCUUAGAGGGUGAACGGACACAUUGGGACUGAGAUACGGUCCAGACUCCUACGGGAGGCAGCAGCUAAGAAUAUUCCGCAAUGGACGAAAGUCUGACGGAGCGACGCCGCGUUGGAUGAAGAAGGCCGGAAGGUUGUAAAAUCCUUUUGAAACUGAAGAAUAAGCGUUGUAGGGAAUGACAGCGUGGUGACAGUAGGUUUUGAAUAAGCAACGGCUAAUUACGUGCCAGCAGCCGC